CUGCUCAUUCUGUUUCCACAGGCAGGGAGCCACCUGUAUCUUCUCAUGGUUUUUUGACCUUGCACAGCUGCCAUAGCUCCUUGGGGCCACACCUCUCCCUCCCCACUUUCAGCAAUGAUGAGACCAUCCAUUUCCCACAAUGCACCUGCAGCUCCACGGCUGUUGCAUGCACUGCCCGGAACCUUGUUAGAGCAAUAAAAAUAGUAGCAUGAAACAGAAUGGAUGGUGAAUUGGAAAGGGACAAAAUACUACAGCCCCGGCCAAAAUAUUCUCACAGGAACGCUGCAGUUGAGCAAAGCAGAAAGUCAGGUGUUCCUGCUCUCAGCACAGCUUAUGAACUCAUUUGACUGUCACUACAACCAUUAGAGCACAAGCACACACAUCUCAUUUCUCCAUCAUCAUGCUCAGCCUGUUUAACGGAUGUUAAUGCUUUUGUGAUGUUCCUCUGGAGGACAGCCACAGAAAGACUGUGUGAAUGAGAGAGCGAGCAGGGGUCUCCGAACAGGCCCCCACAGACCAGCAGAGACAGCAGCAAUAAUACAGAGCACCACUGUUACUGUGCUGAUCAGAUCAUUGAAUUAUAGAAAGCCGAAGGCCUCAACAGCCCAGCGGGCGUGAUUGGAACAAUGGAGAUGCUACAAUCAUCUGGACCACUUAUAAAGCAAUACCCCACUAUUGUUCUGGAAUUACUGUUUAAUAAAGAAAGUUCU